rnacentral:rRNA from 1 species
GACGAACGCUGGCGGCGUGCCUAACACAUGCAAGUCGAACGGAACUGUUUUGAAAGAUUUCUUCGGAAUGAAUUUGAUUUAGUUUAGUGGCGGACGGGUGAGUAACGCGUGAGUAACCUGCCUUCAAGAGGGGAAUAACAUUCUGAAAAGAAUGCUAAUACCGCAUGACAUAUCGGAACCACAUGGUUUUGAUAUCAAAGAUUUUAUCGCUUGAAGAUGGACUCGCGUCCGAUUAGUUAGUUGGUGAGGUAACGGCUCACCAAGACCGCGAUCGGUAGCCGGACUGAGAGGUUGAACGGCCACAUUGGGACUGAGACACGGCCCAGACUCCUACGGGAGGCAGCAGUAGGGGAUAUUGCGCAAUGGGGGCAACCCUGACGCAGCAACGCCGCGUGAAGGAUGAAGGUUUUCGGAUUGUAAACUUCUUUUAUUAAGGACGAAAAAUGACGGUACUUAAUGAAUAAGCUCCGGCUAACUACGUG